rnacentral:rRNA from 1 species
UACGGAGGGAGCUAGCGUUGUUCGGAAUUACUGGGCGUAAAGCGCACGUAGGCGGCUAUUCAAGUCGGGGGUGAAAGCCCGGGGCUCAACUCCGGAAUUGCCUUUAAGACUGCAUCGCUAGAAUUGUGGAGAGGUAAGUGGAAUUCCGAGUGUAGAGGUGAAAUUCGUAGAUAUUCGGAAGAACACCAGUGGCGAAGGCGACUUACUGGACACAUAUUGACGCUGAGGUGCGAAAGCGUGGGGAGCAAACAGG